rnacentral:rRNA from 1 species
UACAGAGACUGCGAGCGUUAUUCGGAUUCACUGGGCGUAAAGGGUGCGCAGGCGGCCGUGUGUGUGAGGCGUGAAAGCCCGGGGCUUAACCCCGGAAUUGCACCUCAAACUACACGGCUAGAGCAUUGGAGAGGGUAGCGGAAUUCACGGUGUAGCAGUGAAAUGCGUAGAUAUCGUGAGGAACACCAGUGGCGAAGGCGGCCGGCUGGGGGCGCCCUGACGCUGAGGCGCGACAGCGUGGGGAGCAAACGGG